rnacentral:rRNA from 1 species
GACGAACGCUGGCGGCGUGCUUAACACAUGCAAGUCGAACGGUAAGGCCCUUCGGGGUACACGAGUGGCGAACGGGUGAGUAACACGUGGGUGAUCUGCCCUGCACUUCGGGAUAAGCCUGGGAAACUGGGUCUAAUACCGGAUAGGACUCCUGGCUUCAUGGUUGGGGGUGGAAAGCUUUUGCGGUGUGGGAUGGGCCCGCGGCCUAUCAGCUUGUUGGUGGGGUAAUGGCCUACCAAGGCGACGACGGGUAGCCGGCCUGAGAGGGUGACCGGUCACACGGGGACUGAGAUACGGCCCAGACACCGACGGGAGGCAGCAGGGGGGAAUAUUGCACAAUGUGCGGAAGCCUGAUGCGGCGACGCCGCGGGAGGGAUGACGGCCUUGGGGUUGUAAACCUCUUUCAGCUAUGACGAAGCGCAAGUGACGGUAGUAGCAGAAGAAGGACCGGCCAACUACGUGCCAGCAGCCGCCGUAA